rnacentral:rRNA from 1 species
UACGUAGGGUGCGAGCGUUAAUCGGAAUUACUGGGCGUAAAGCGUGCGUAGGCGGUUGGCAAAGUCAGCUGUGAAAGCCCCGGGCUCAACCUGGGAAUUGCGAUGGAGACUGCAAGGCUUGAAUCUGGCAGAGGGGGGUAGAAUUCCACGUGUAGCAGUGAAAUGCGUAGAGAUGUGGAGGAACACCGAUGGCGAAGGCAGCCCCCUGGGUCAAGAUUGACGCUCAUGCACGAAAGCGUGGGGAGCAAACAGG